rnacentral:lncRNA from 1 species
CUACUAACAUUUCAUUCAUCAUGGAUGGAAACCGCAGGUUCGCCAAGAAACACAAUCUUAAAGGCCUAGACGCAGGACAUAGAGCCGGUUUCAUAUCCGUGAAAUAUAUUCUUCAAUACUGCAAAGAGAUUGGUGUACCGUACGUGACACUCUACGCGUUUGGUAUGGAUAAUUUCAAGAGAGGACCUGAAGAAGUCAAGUGUGUCAUGGAUCUAAUGCUUGAGAAAGUCGAGCUUGCGAUCCAUCAAGCUGUCUCCGGGAAUCUAAAGGGGGUGAGAAUAAUCUUUGCCGGUGAUUUAAAUUCGUUAAACGAGCGUUUUAGAGCUGCGGCGCAGAAACUGAUGGAGCUAACGGAGGAGAAUAGAGAUCUGAUUGUGGUGGUUUGCGUUGCUUACAGCACAAAUCUCGAGAUUGUUCACGCUGUUCGAAAAUCUUGUGUUAAAAAGUGUAAAAAUGGAGAUGGUGCUGUAGUUUUGGAGGUGAGUGAUGUUGAAGGAUGUAUGUAUACAUCGGCUGUGCCAGAUCCGGAUCUUGUUAUCAGAACCGGAGGAGGAGAUCGGCUGAGUAACUUCAUGACGUGGCAAACUUCGAGGUCUCUUCUUCACAGAACGGAGGCUCUUUGGCCGGAGUUAGGACUCUGGCAUUUGGUUUGGGCCAUUCUGAAAUUCCAAAGAAUGCAAGAUUGCUUGCAGAAGAAGAAAAAGCUCGAUUAAAUAGUUUCUAAGUUAAACCCUAGAACGAACUUUUACCCUUUAUUAUGUUUGAUUAUGUGUUUCUCGCCGACAAUAAACUAUGAAUCGAAACGAAAAAGCACAAGAAAAUCAUUUUUAUUAUGUAUUGGAUCUAAAUGACAAACACGAAGGCACAAAAACAUCGAUAAUCGUUGGUUUUAACGAUGCUAAAACACUACAAUUAGAGGGUUAAUCUAAACACAAUUUGGUAAACAAAAAGCAAACAAAUCUUUAAAGAUUUAGUACUUGGCCAUCUAAGAACCUAAAGGCAAUCUCAGUCACCUGCCAAAUAACUUUUAAAAAAUUGUUCUUCGAGAGAAUCUUCUAGCUAGAUUCAUCUAGAGGUUUACUUCUGUCUUGUUGAGGAGAACAGCUGAUUCUUCCAUUUGCCAGAUUUCUUGGCUGGUUUGGGAUUUGAGUCCAAAUUUCUUGCAGUGGGUUUUCAGCUUGAAGGUGCAGAAAGAGAAUUGAUGUUACAGAUUUUAGGUUCAAAACAGUUCAAAUAGUCUUUCUGCUAUCACGGUGAGCAAUAUCAUAGGCGUUUCAACUGAUACCACUCUGAAAUUUGUGAGUAAACUCGUGGAUUGGAGCUCACAAGACGGUAAAAUCUUGUUACGCUUUAUUGCAAACACGACAACCAUUUUUGUGUGUCAUUGCAUUCGAACUUAGAAUAGUAGAAGAGUCUUUACGUGUUUAAUAAUCUGUCCCAUAACAUAUUUCUGUAAUCUUUUUUUAAAACUAAAUUUAAAAGUAAUAAUUUAAAAGUGGUUAUAGAUAAUUAGAUACAGAAGUAUUUUUUUUUAAUUUAAAUAUAAUCCUUAAUUAAAAAGAAAUAACAUAUUUGAUUAAACCAAGAAGAAAGCCAUCAAUCACUAAAUCACCCAUUUUCUCCCUCCCCCUAAAAAUCAGCCGUAUCAUCAUAUGAUCAUUCCAUUUGCAUUCCCUCAAAAAAACAAAAAAAAAAAACUCCAUUCUUAAUUUUUGUUUAUAUUCCGUCCACUCUCAACAAAACCGAAAACACCAAAGUUCUUGAAUUCUCUCCGAUAACCAUAAUAAAAUCCCGUUUUUCUGAUAUGAAUACCCGAGAAGAAGUAGGCGAAUUCACUCAAAUCUUCAACGCUUUAAUGAGUCUAAUGAGGACAUUUAUAUUCAAAGUUCUACGCGUCGGUCCAAUCCCUACUAACAUUUCAUUCAUCAUGGAUGGAAACCGCAGGUUCGCCAAGAAACGCAAUCUUGAAGGCUUAGACGCAGGACACAGAGCCGGUUUCAUAUCCGUGAAAUAUAUUCUUCAAUACUGCAAAGAGAUUGGUGUACCGUACGUCACACUCUACGCCUUUGGUAUGGACAAUUUCAAGAGAGGACCUGAAGAAGUCAAGUGUGUCAUGGAUCUAAUGCUGGAGAAAGUCGAGCUCACGAUUGAUCAAGCUGUAUCCGGGAAUAUGAACGGCGUGAGAAUUAUCUUUGCCGGUGAUUUAAAUUCGUUAAACGAGCGUUUUAGAGCUGCGACGCAGAAACUGAUGAAGCUUACGGAGGAGAAUAGAGAUCUGAUUGUUGUGGUUUGCGUUGCUUACAGCACAAGUGUCGAGAUUGUUCAUGCUGUUCGAGAUUCUUGCGUUAGAAAGAGUAAAAUUGGAGAUGGUUCUGUAGCUUUGGAGUUGAGUGAUAUUGAAGAGUGUAUGUAUACAUCCGUCGUGCCGGUUCCGGAUCUUGUGAUAAGAACCGGAGGAGGAGAUCGGCUGAGUAACUUCAUGACGUGGCAAACUUCUAAGUCACUUCUUCACAGAACGGAGGCUCUUUGGCCGGAGUUAGGGCUCUGGCAUUUGGUUUGGGCCAUUCUGAAAUUCCAGAGAAUGCAAGAUUACUUGCAGAAGAAGAAGAAGUUCCACUAAAUAGUUUCUAAGUUAAACCCUAGAAAGAAAAAUGUUAAACCCUAGAAUGAACUUUAACCCUUACGUUUGAUUACAGGUUUCUUGUGGUGUAAGAAACAAAGAACCGAAACUGUGAAAACACAAGAAAAUCCUUUUUAUUAUGUAUGUGAUAUAAAUAACAAGCACAAAGACAUGAAACAUCGAUA